rnacentral:rRNA from 1 species
AACGUAGGAGACAAACGUUAUCCGGAGUUACUGGGCGUAAAGGGCGUGCAGGUGGUAAUCUAAGUCUGGCGUGAAAGCCAUCGGCUCAACCGGUGAAAGUCGUCGGAGACUGGAUAACUAGAGGGCAGUAGAGGCGUGUGGAAUUCCGGGUGUAGUGGUGAAAUGCGUAGAGAUCCGGAGGAACACCAGUGGCGAAGGCGACACGCUGGGCUGCACCUGACACUGAGACGCGACAGCAUGGGGAGCGAACGGG